CUAUUGCAGUGGCCAAGGAGGUCUGGUUCUCUCUAUUCUCCAUGCUGCCACCGCAACCCUCACCAGGAAAAGCAGCAUAAAG